UCAAGAUAUUGAUCAAGUCUCUCCAGAGUUGCCCGACAGGAUGCCAUUUGUUAAUAUUGAAGAUUUCAAUCAUUUUGAAAAUAGUGAUAGAAUUACAAAAAAAAAAUUGACAAAGUAUCUUGCUUCGAUGGGAGGGUUCAGCAGCUGUCCUAAGAAGACAAUUGCGCAAUUCUGGAAAAAAUGUUUCGAUGAUAAGGAAAACGUCACCCCAAAUCUUAUCUGGAAAUACAAUAAACUGUACGCCGACAGGGUUGUCCUACUCCAGGGGGGAUUUUACAAAUGCUGCAAAAAAGCUGUUUCACGUAUUUUUAGACAACGUCAGCCUACAGAUGAAGAUUUCAACAAAUUCAUGCAAUGUGCUUUCAAAAGUACCAAAAAUCGUAGGGGUGAAAAACCUAAAACAGCCGGAGCAGCAUAGAUCAACAUUUAAA